rnacentral:rRNA from 1 species
UACGAAGGGGGCUAGCGUUGCUCGGAAUCACUGGGCGUAAAGGGUGCGUAGGCAGGUCUUUAAGUCAGGGGUGAAAUCCUGGAGCUCAACUCCAGAACUGCCUUUGAUACUGAAGAUCUUGAGUUCGGGAGAGGUGAGUGGAACUGCGAGUGUAGAGGUGAAAUUCGUAGAUAUUCGCAAGAACACCAGUGGCGAAGGCGGCUCACUGGCCCGAUACUGACGCUGAGGCACGAAAGCGUGGGGAGCAAACAGGG